GACGUAGGGCGCGAGCGUUGUCCGGAUUUAUUGGGCGUAAAGAGCUCGUAGGCGGCUUGUCACGUCGGGUGUGAAAACCCGGGGCUCAACUCCGGGCUUGCAUUCGAUACGGGCAGGCUAGAGUUCGGUAGGGGAGUCUGGAAUUCCUGGUGUAGCGGUGAAAUGCGCAGAUAUCAGGAGGAACACCGGUGGCGAAGGCGGGACUCUGGGCCGAUACUGACGCUGAGGAGCGAAAGCGUGGGGAGCGAACAGG
rnacentral:rRNA from 1 species